rnacentral:rRNA from 1 species
UACGUAGGGGGCAAGCGUUGUCCGGAUUUAUUGGGCGUAAAGAGCUCGUAGGCGGUUUGUCGCGUCUGCUGUGAAGACUCGGGGCUUAACCCCGGGCCUGCAGUGGGUACGGGCAGACUAGAGUGCGGUAGGGGAGACUGGAAUUCCUGGUGUAGCGGUGAAAUGCGCAGAUAUCAGGAGGAACACCGGUGGCGAAGGCGGGUCUCUGGGCCGUAACUGACGCUGAGGAGCGAAAGCGUGGGGAGCGAACAGG